rnacentral:lncRNA from 1 species
CAGCAAAGCUACUGGCGGCCCAUCAUGGGGUAAAGUUGGGAAGGGAUGCCUGCUAUGUAUGUGGCCAGCUUGUGCCACCGCCUUCUCUCUCGCCACUUUGCCCAUUCUCCCUGUCUGUUUCCUCCCCUACCCUCUGCCCCUAUAGGAUUCCUCCAUUUGGAAGUGAUUGAACUGCAUAUCCCUUACAUACCAACUGCCAAGCCAGGGUCACUGUUCAUGGUCUGAACGAUUUCCAUGCCCUGGGGUUGUAUAGUAAAGAAAAAGCUGUGAUGCAGGUUGGUGAAAGUCCUGAACUUUGUCUCCCCACCCAGAGGACAACUGGCCAGGAAAUCUGCCUGUUUCUUGUCUCACCCUCUAGUCCACACUCUGCCUAACGCUACGCCCUACCUCACAUUCCUAUUGACAUCUGCUGCAGAUCACACCCUUGUGAUGGACAAACUGCUCAGUACAGUCCCACCCACCCAGCCUCCUUGUCCUGGGCACGAGGUUUUUGCCUCCCUGAUUUGGAGUAUUGGGCCCUUACUAGAGAGCUGCCAGAUGAGGUAAGUGAGGCAUGGAGAGGACAGGAGGAGGGGAGAGGAGCUUCAAGGGGCAGGGCAGUCUGGGAGUCACCUCAACAUUCUUGAUCCCAUCCCCAUCAGCAUCAUCAUCACACUGGUCCCCCACACCAUCAUUAUCAGCAUCUUCCUGCCCAGAGUUGGGUGUCAAAAGGCAGUUGUCCUAAAGUUCAGGGGAAGAGGAUGGAUGAGUUCUGGCCUGACCCAGCUUGGGCUCCCCACUACGCCCCCUUGCCCGCCUGCUCCCUGCACCUGUUUGCAGUGUUUGUUGUUGUCCAUGCAGGGCAGUGCUUGGUCUGGGUAGCCAUCGAUGUCUGUGUCAGUCCCACACACGUUCCCAUUCCCAGCCCAGCCCACGUUACACUAGGGCAACACAAAGGGUAGGAGCUAGCAGUUUGGUCUGGCUCCCCUCCUCCCUCUAUUUUCCCUGCUUCAGGUCCUAUUCUCCCCACCAAACAGUUCCUGGGCCCAGGCCCACCUCUCUCCUAUGAAGGCCCCCAACCCAGGCCCUAAACAUAGCCCUACUCCUUUCCCCAGACCCUCCCUUUUCCUUCCACGCCUGAAGCCUAGCUCACCUGGCAGGACACUGCACCAUUGCGUUCAAAGAGACAGUGAGCAUGGAUGUGGCAGGGGCUGUGGGCUGGGCUGUGGCAGGUCCGGGCUGGGAGGCAGCCCUGGCUCUGGUUGCCCAGGAAACCCAGGCGGCAGGGACCACACUUGAAAGAGCCCUAAGAGUGGAGAGGCAGCAUCUUAGGAAGGAGGGUGAGCCCACCAGGCACCCAGGACCAGCACUGCUCCACCUGCGGGGUGUGGGCUGGGCACUCAAUUAUGCCAGGCAUAUCAGUAUCUCCUUUAGGUUCUCAUGACAACCUUUCAGGGU